rnacentral:tRNA from 1 species
GUGAGUAUAGCAAGUGGUAGAGUGCAUGCUUAACAUGCAUGAGGUCCUGGGUUCGAUCCCCAGUACCUCCU